UUACCCAUCACCUGAAGUAUUUCACUGCAGGUGGUCAUUUAGAAGCCCUUUGGCCAGCAGCAGUUGUGCUCUUCACAAGAGGAGGUGCAUGCAGUGUCCUGCCUUGCACAGAAGGUUUUUAAGGGUUUUCUUCUUGAGAAUCUCCUGUAUCACGGGGGUCAAGUGUUGCGGUGCUCAGUAGUGGUGCGUAGCUGCCAAACGUUCCCACCCUGAUUUCCCCCAUACGAACUGCAGCGAGCUCAGAUUUCUUUGUUAUCGGCCGCACUCGGCGCAUAAUGCCGGUGACUUUGCUAUUCUGCAUGUCUCCUUAUUAAAAACAAACACGCCGCCCCGUCCCUGUUUUCAGCGUUGACAAUGCUGACAAGGAUCCCGACAAAUUCCUGCUCUCUCAGGGUGCUGGGGAAGCGCGACCAGGAAGCAGUUUGCUCUGCCGGCAGCUCCAGACAGGCUGCUCAUUGAAAAUGUAAUACACUGCUGCCAUGUCACAGGUCAGCUGGCAAAUGGCAAUCUGAAUUUUAAAAGGAAUAUGAAUAAAAUUCUGUUUUAUUUUG